GAUGAACGCUAGCGGCAGGCUUAACACAUGCAAGUCGAGGGGCAGCAUAAAACAUUGCUUGCAAUGUUUGGUGGCGACCGGCGCACGGGUGCGUAACGCGUAUGCAACCUACCUGUAACAGGGGGAUAACACUGAGAAAUUGGUACUAAUACCCCGUAACAUCAGAUGAGGCAUCUCCUUCCAAUUAAAGAAAUUCGGAUAAGGAUAGGCUCGCGUGACAUUAGCUAGACGGCGGGGUAACGGCCCACCGUGGCUACGAUGUCUAGGGGUUCUGAGAGGAAGGUCCCCCACACUGGAACUGAGACACGGUCCAGACUCCUACGGGAGGCAGCAGUGAGGAAUAUUGGUCAAUGGUCUGACGACUGAACCAGCCAUGCCGCGUGAAGGUCACGGCCCUAUGGGUCUUAAACUUCUUUUGCGAGGGAGCAAUAAGGUCUACGUGUAGUCCGAUGAGAGUACCUCGCGAAUAAGCAUCGGCUAACUCCGUGCCAGCA
rnacentral:rRNA from 1 species